GAUGAACGCUGGCGGCGUGCCUAAUACAUGCAAGUCGAGCGAACAGACGAGGAGCUUGCUCCUCUGACGUUAGCGGCGGACGGGUGAGUAACACGUGGAUAACCUACCUAUAAGACUGGGAUAACUUCGGGAAACCGGAGCUAAUACCGGAUAAUAUAUUGAACCGCAUGGUUCAAUAGUGAAAGACGGUUUUGCUGUCACUUAUAGAUGGAUCCGCGCCGCAUUAGCUAGUUGGUAAGGUAACGGCUUACCAAGGCAACGAUGCGUAGCCGACCUGAGAGGGUGGUCGGCCACACUGGAACUGAGACACGGUCCAGACUCCUACAGGAGGCAGCAGUAGGGAAUCUUCCGCAAUGGGCGAAAGCUUGACGGGGCAACGCCGCGUGAGUGGUGAAGGUCUUCGGAUCGUAAAACUCUGUUAUUAGGGAAGAACAAAUGUGUAAGUAACUAUGCACGUCUUGACGGUACCUAAUCAGAAAGCCACGGCUAACUACGUG
rnacentral:rRNA from 1 species